GUUAUCUUACUUAGCAAUGAUGAAAUUGAUCAUUGACCCAUUAUUCUUUUGAAAUCUAGUGUUUUACUUUUAUUGUAUUUCCCUAAUCCAGUGGUUUCAAGGGUUAUGGCAUCUUUCAAUGUUGAUACUGCUCUCUCUCAUAUGUUUCACAUUGUGGCUCAUUAUUUGUAUGUCUGUUAAUUUUUUUUAAUAUUUUUAAAUGGCGGAAAUUUUAAUGUUUUGUCUCCUUCCAGUGUUUGAAAAGCAUAUCCUUGAAAUCAUGGUUGAAAAUCUGGAGUUGCUGUUGUUCUUGCAACAUAAUAGUUAACUUGUUUGGAUGCCUUCGCUCAUGUCCCUUCAGUCAUGUCAUUCUCCUCGAUCAGUACAAGCACAAAGAAUUUCUUUUUGCUGGUUUUGUUUUUGACUGAAACAAACAAAAGCCUUUUAAUAGUUUGAAGUCAGAGAAGGUGCCUUUCAAUUUCUCAAUUUUUAGAUUUCAAAAUGCUUGAUCACUUAUGUUUGAUAGGCAAUACCUUAAUAGAAUGUUAGUUUUUCUUCGUUGAUUCUACGCUUCUAUCAUGCUCUGAGAAUACAUUAAAUUCAAAUUAUACAACAGUAUCUCUGUCAUGUCUCAGAUUGUGAUGGAAGAUCCUGAUGUUGAUGUAGAGAUUUAAAAUUGAUUUUUGAUGUGUAGUUCUAUGAUUCCAUUAUGAGAUCAAAGGAUCGAAUAAUUUAUCUUACAUAAAAGGUUGUGACUUUCAAGGAUGAUAUGCAACCAUAUCCCUAUAUUUGAUUGUAAUAGAAGAUCCUGAUGUUGGCAUAGAGAUAUAUAACUUAUUUGUGGUCUAUAUUUCUAUGAUUGCAAUGUGAGACUCAAAGGUUCAUUCCAUUUUGUUGUGUAAUAUGUUGGACAUGAUUUUAGUUUGUCAUGUCAUCAGAUUUAUUUGUUGAUCACUGGAGGUGCCAUGUGACACCUAACAGAAAUGUAUUCAAAUUCUGAAAAGGGAAACAAGUGAACUCUAUAUAGGGAAUCCUACUGCAAGGGAAUAUUUUUCUU